rnacentral:snRNA from 1 species
UCACUAUGUAUGCAUCUGUGUCAUCAUGGUCAUAGAGGUGGUUCUCCCAGGGUGCUAAGCUCAUCCCUUGCCCCCUGGAUGUGCUAAAUACUGGGGCUUCCCCAAUGAGAGAAACUUGUGGUAGUGAGGACUGCGUUCAUACCCUCUCCUUU